GGACAGAUAGCUCAGUGGUAGAGGUAUGACUCCAAUGUCUCACUGCCUCCUGGAACACACACUGAUACCAGGUAACAGCGAGGGAUUGCAGAUCCCUAGGUCGCGUGUUCAAACCACGCUCGGUCCU
rnacentral:tRNA from 1 species